rnacentral:tRNA from 1 species
UCCCUGGUGAUUCAGACAGUAAGAAAUUUGCCUGAAAUGCAGGAGACCUGGGUUCAAUCCCCAGGUUGGGAA